ACUUUGCACCAAUACACUGUCUUAGGCCUCCCAAUGACCCAGCCUGAGGACUGGAGCCAUGAAAGCCUGCAUCACCCAAGCGUGUUUUAUUUUAAAGUAAACACUCCAGGACCAUCUCAAGCUUCGUCACCUCCCUCCUCCCCCUUGAAGUUUUUAGUGUAUAAGCAUUUUCUCCAACUCUGGAUGGGGCAGUUUGACAGAGCACUGUAGGCACCUCAGGUGACCCAUUUCCAACCUCUUAAUCUGAUGAAUUCUCUCUCCCCCUCUUUCCCCACCUUUUUUUAUUUUUUUUAAACUUUCUUCCAGAUGCCUGUGGUCUGUCUGAUGUAGCCCAUGUGGAAAGCUUGCAGGAAAAGUCCCAGUGUGCUUUGGAAGAGUACGUUAGGAGCCAGUACCCCAACCAGCCAACACGGUUCGGAAAGCUCUUGCUUCGUCUCCCUUCCCUCCGCACGGUCUCCUCCUCAGUCAUAGAGCAAUUGUUUUUCGUCCGUUUGGUAGGUAAAACCCCCAUCGAAACCCUCAUCCGGGAUAUGUUACUGUCCGGCAGCAGUUUUAACUGGCCAUAUAUGGCAAUUCAAUAAAUAAAUCAAUCAAAAUAAGGGGGAGUGAAACAGAGAAAGAAAAGGCAAAAGACUGGUUUUGUUUGCUUAAUUUCCUUCUGUUAAGAAAGGAUGUUACAAGUUUGCUAAAAAGAAGAGAGGGGAAGAAUUUAAUGGACUGUGAAUUUCAAAAAGGAGAGAGAGAAAGAGAGAGACUGCCAAAUGAACUUUUACAGAAUGCAUUAAAAAAAAAGAAAGAAAACAACUCCUGUGUUGGGCAGAACAACCUGCUACUUAUCAUUUUUGUAUAAAAAGGAAAUUAGUCUUUUUUUCUUUUUGGUAAAUUUUUGAAAAAUAUUGCUAAAAGUGCAUUUAAGGAGAUUGGGAGAAAAUUAGCAGAAUGGACAAAGUAAGUCAUUUUUUUCCAAAUUAUUAAUUGUCCUGUGUCUAUGUACCUCUAGUUGUUCUUUUUUUUUUUUUUUAACUUUUCUGGUUCCAAACCAGUUUAUUCUGUGGUUCAAUAAUAAGUUUUGAUAUAAUCUUGGCUUCUUAAAAACUGUGUAUCAUUAAAAUAUAUGUUCUGCAAGAAUUAAAACUGAGUCCAUGAAAAUAGCAUAGGAAAACAUAAAACUUUAAAAGGCAACUCAGAGAUGGUGGAAAUGCACUUACAAGUGGUGGCCAAAUUGUUUUUUUUUUUUUUUUUUUAAGGUAAAGUUGAGCACUCUAAUUAGCAAGCUGGGGGAAUCACAUCAACACUUAGCUUCCCCACCCCCACCCCAUACCAUGACAAACCUAGCUUUUUAAAAAAAAUAUUUUAAGAAACAGAAGGAACUGUGGAAUUUAUUGGCAGCCAAGGAAUGUGUCCAAGACACAAGCUGAGGUUUUUGAAUAAAAAGUGAACUUUUGUAAUUUGAAUUGGGUCCCCCCCCCUUAGUUCUUGAAUUGUUAUGAAUCCUAUAUCUGUUUGUAUAUUUGCAAGCCCUUUGUAUUAUAAUUGUUGAUAUUUCCCCUUUUUAAAAAAUACCAUUGAAAUCAGCAUGACAAAAUAACACUGUUGGCACUUAUAGGUAACGUGAUUGAUUCAGUAUCUUAGAGUUUACAGUUUGUGUUUUUAAAAAACUGAAGGUUUUUUUUUUAAGUGCAACAUUUCUGUAUACUGUAAAAGUUAUAAUAACUGAACUGUUUGGUCGAGUCUUUGUGUGUUAUAUUCCAAGGAAAUUGAAAGUAUUCAGAAAUUAAAAUAUUAUUUGAUAUCUGAAAUCUGCUUGGCUGUCCCCACUCACUGUCUUUCCACGGAGCUGAGCCCCUGUGAGUUCUCGCUGAGCCAGCGGGGGCCCCAUUUGUUUACUCCCUCAAUCAGUUUGUUCAAAGGUAGACUAGUGUAUUUGCCUGUUUAAUUUGGGUGUGGUGUGGGGGGGGAGCUGAAGUUAAUGGUUUAGCUAUGGUUUAGGAAGUGCCACACUGAUAUAGUAAGCCACCCCCAUUCACCUAAUCCUACUUUUAAUUAAAAAUGGAUUUUCCAGGAAAAAAAUAAGGCCCUUAUAUUUGUCACACUUAAGUGCCUGCUUAGGGAAGGUAUUGUGAAAAGUAUUAGAAAUUUUGAGAUCAGUAUCUGUUUUAUGAUC
rnacentral:lncRNA from 1 species